rnacentral:rRNA from 1 species
AUGGCGGCCAUGGAGAUGGAGGAGGUGCUCGCCCUGGUGCCGGGCUUCGUCGACAUCCUCGUCCUCGCCGGCGGCCGCGCCUCCUCCGGCGCCGCCGCCGCCUGGCGCCCCGCCGACGUCCAGAAGGCCCUCCGCUGGGCGCUCUUCUUCGAGGAGGUCUUCAGGAACCUGCGUGACUCCGGGCAGUACGAGGAAUCCGCGAGGGAGUUCGACGCGGCGCUCGCCGAGCUCGCCUCAAGCCCGGGUUUCCCCAAGGGCCUUGUCGACAUGCGAUCGGAGACGCUCUCGGCGGCCACAGAGCUGGUCAUAAAGCAUUUUCUGAAAGCCGAAACGACGAGCGUGGAGAACAUCCGGGCUGUUCUCGAGGCGGUCGUGGGGAUGGACAUCGACGGCAUUGGUGCUAGCGGUGGGCGCGAUGCGUGCCAAGAUUAUGUGAAGUCGAUCUUGAAUAUGGAUUUGUCUGGUUUGCCGCGGACCAAGAGCGGCGGUGAAGUAGGAGCUCCCACCACGGGUCAUUCACGGAUUCUGGUUAACGAGCUUCUGGAACGGUUGGAUUCAGCAUCAUGUAUUUCUCUGGCUGAGAGAGGACUGCGCACACUUCUGGACAGCGUGAAGAAGAACAGCUUCAGUGAUCCAGGCAGCCCAGUGAUCUCUAGAAAAUCACAAAUCAUCGACCAGUUUCUUCUGUGGAAACAGUGGAGAGGACGAUGUUUGUCAUACUUACUUGAUGAACGCACUGUUCGGAUUGUGUCUGGAUCUAGUUUUAUCUUUAGUGCUCCCAAGGAGCAGUGGAUGAAGGUGUUUGAACCAUUAAAAGUUUCUGUAGAUUCUUGUCAGAGUGGCCUCGUUGAAGUCAUGGAGAUAUGCUUGCUGGGUUUGAUUUCAAGGCGAUGGGACCCAUUGAUAGAGAGCUUCGUGUCGCAUGCUUUUAGUUCCCUUCCUAUAUCCAAGCAGUAUGCUGAUCUGCACCAGUUGCUUCAGGGAACUUAUCGGGGUGAAUGCCCAGACAAGAUUCUUAAUUUGAAGGAAAAUGACAUUCUUGAGUAUACAAGGCAGUCAUUAGAAAGUAAACCGCAUGUAUUAUGGCUUCUACAUCCGGUUCUUACUGCGGCAGCAAUUCCGCCACGGUCGACCUUGUUUGAAAUAUACCUUGCAGAAAUAGACAAGCAAUUUGAUGAAGCUGUUUCCACAGAACGGAAAUGUAAUUGCAGAAGAGAUGGAAUAGAGCAACAUGAUAGCUGUGAGGUUGCCGAAAGGAUUCAAUGUCUCUACACUUUCCAUGUUCAACAACCUCAUCCAAUGGUUCAGUAG